AUUCCGUGAUGAGGGCAUCUUCAUAAUAGUCCUUUAAACCUUUCCCACACCUCACACAAGGAUUCAUCAUCCAUCUGUUGGAAGGUAGUGAUCUCGUUCCUCAAGUU
rfam:Gossypium raimondii Chr04_contig_690, whole genome shotgun sequence.